CGAAUGCUGACAUAAGUAACGAUAAAGCGGGUGAAAAGCCCGCUCGCCGGAAGACCAAGGGUUCCUGUCCAACGUUAAUCGGGGCAGGGUGAGUCGACCCCUAAGGCGAGGCCGAAAGGCGUAGUCGAUGGGAAACAGGUUAAUAUUCCUGUACUUGGUGUUACUGCGAAGGGGGGACGGAGAAGGCUAUGUUGGCCGGGCGACGGUUGUCCCGGUUUAAGCGUGUAGGCUGGUUUUCCAGGCAAAUCCGGAAAAUCAAGGCUGAGGCGUGAUGACGAGGCACUACGGUGCUGAAGCAACAAAUGCCCUGCUUCCAGGAAAAGCCUCUAAGCAUCAGGUAACAUCAAAUCGUACCCCAAACCGACACAGGUGGUCAGGUAGAGAAUACCAAGGCGCUUGAGAGAACUCGGGUGAAGGAACUAGGCAAAAUGGUGCCGUAACUUCGGGAGAAGGCACGCUGAUAUGUAGGUGAAGCGACUUGCUCGUGGAGCUGAAAUCAGUCGAAGAUACCAGCUGGCUGCAACUGUUUAUUAAAAACACAGCACUGUGCAAACACGAAAGUGGACGUAUACGGUGUGACGCCUGCCCGGUGCCGGAAGGUUAAUUGAUGGGGUUAGCGGUAACGCGAAGCUCUUGAUCGAAGCCCCGGUAAACGGCGGCCGUAACUAUAACGGUCCUAAGGUAGCGAAAUUCCUUGUCGGGUAAGUUCCGACCUGCACGAAUGGCGUAAUGAUGGCCAGGCUGUCUCCACCCGAGACUCAGUGAAAUUGAACUCGCUGUGAAGAUGCAGUGUACCCGCGGCAAGACGGAAAGACCCCGUGAACCUUUACUAUAGCUUGACACUGAACAUUGAGCCUUGAUGUGUAGGAUAGGUGGGAGGCUUAGAAGUGUGGACGCCAGUCUGCAUGGAGCCGACCUUGAAAUACCACCCUUUAAUGUUUGAUGUUCUAACGUUGACCCGUAAUCCGGGUUGCGGACAGUGUCUGGUGGGUAGUUUGACUGGGGCGGUCUCCUCCUAAAGAGUAACGGAGGAGCACGAAGGUUGGCUAAUCCUGGUCGGACAUCAGGAGGUUAGUGCAAUGGCAUAAGCCAGCUUGACUGCGAGCGUGACGGCGCGAGCAGGUGCGAAAGCAGGUCAUAGUGAUCCGGUGGUUCUGAAUGGAAGGGCCAUCGCUCAACGGAUAAAAGGUACUCCGGGGAUAACAGGCUGAUACCGCCCAAGAGUUCAUAUCGACGGCGGUGUUUGGCACCUCGAUGUCGGCUCAUCACAUCCUGGGGCUGAAGUAGGUCCCAAGGGUAUGGCUGUUCGCCAUUUAAAGUGGUACGCGAGCUGGGUUUAGAACGUCGUGAGACAGUUCGGUCCCUAUCUGCCGUGGGCGCUGGAGAACUGAGGGGGGCUGCUCCUAGUACGAGAGGACCGGAGUGGACGCAUCACUGGUGUUCGGGUUGUCAUGCCAAUGGCACUGCCCGGUAGCUAAAUGCGGAAGAGAUAAGUGCUGAAAGCAUCUAAGCACGAAACUUGCCCCGAGAUGAGUUCUCCCUGACUCCUUGAGAGUCCUGAAGGAACGUUGAAGACGACGACGUUGAUAGGCCGGGUGUGUAAGCGCAGCGAUGCGUUGAGCUAACCGGUACUAAUGAACCGUGAGGCUUAACCUUACAAC
rnacentral:rRNA from 1 species